rnacentral:rRNA from 1 species
AGCUUGCUUUCUCAAGCGAGUGGCGAACGGGUGAGUAACACGUGAGCAACCUGCCUUUCAGUGGGGGACAACAUUUGGAAACGAAUGCUAAUACCGCAUAAGACCACAGUGUCGCAUGGCACAGGGGUCAAAGGAUUUAUCCGCUGAAAGAUGGGCUCGCGUCCGAUUAGCUAGAUGGUGAGGUAACGGCCCACCAUGGCGACGAUCGGUAGCCGGACUGAGAGGUUGAACGGCCACAUUGGGACUGAGACACGGCCCAGACUCC